GGUUACUCUUUAAUUAACAUUUUAUUUUGAAGAGUAAUAAUUAUUUAUUUUGAAGCUUAGCCUUGACUUAGUUUGAGCUUUAGUAGUUAUAACUUACAAUUGAUUGAUAGCUUUAUAUCCAUUAUUCUGACAUUAUUGGUUGUUAGAAUUGUUAAUUUAGAGAUGUUGAGCUAAAACUUAAAGCUUGAGAUUAAGAAUAUAUAUUAUAAUUGUUAGGUUAAUUUCGCAUUCAGGCAAUUCUCUUUCUUCUGCUCAUUCCCAGUUCUUAGUUCCUAUGUGGAGUUCAUAUCGAUUUGAAUUCAGCAUCAUCAUAUUUACUCAUGGUUUGAUGCAUCAUGUUUACAUAUUUGUUAGAUGCCUUGAAAUAAUACCUAAACAUUGGUUGGUCCAAUAUAUCAUCUUCUAAGUAGUGCAUUUUCACAGGGUUUAGACAGACAGAAAAUGUUGCUUGGCAUCCCGAUAUGUCGAUAAAGUUGUGUUAUGUAAGCAUUUCGACGACAUGGGAAGUCAUGCUUUUCUUAAAUGUCUAGACAUUUAAAAUUCAUAUAUACAUUUUGUAAUUAAGACAAUCUCCAAGAGACAAGGAGUCUUUUCUUAAAGAGCAUCUUGUAGACGUAUCUUUAAAUUUUAAUCUUUAAAAUUUUUAACACACACCACCAACUUUUUAUUUUUAUUCAUUUUUCGUAUUCCUAUAACCAUUUGUUAUUUUUCCAUCAUUUUUUAAUUAAUAUAUAUUUUUAGAUGUAAAUGGCACUUUGUGGUACUCAUUGACAUCCAACCUUUUGCAACACAAGAAUAUUUGGAUCAAGAACUUGGUUCCUCCCUUGAGAGAUUGAUAAAAAAGAAGCCAAAAGAUUUUGCAUUAUCUUUUCUUCUGGUUUAACAUCCACAUUAAUGUUUGCUCAGCAUUAAGACGAUCUUAUACUUGCUGUUUAGACUGGUUGUAUAAGAAAUCAAAUAUAUAAUCCUGCGUAUCAGGUUUGUGGGUGGUCGAGUUAGAAAUAUUCUCUCAUCAUCUUUGUCGGUUUUAUCAAUUGCAAAAGAUUUUUGUCGUGUUUUCCCCUGAAUGCACUUAUUAUUCCCAUUUUUUUUUAUCAGUAAAUGUAAGUUUUUAUUGAUCAAAAUUUGUAUACAAGUACUCUGGGCAUAUCCGGACUUACAAUCAUCGUUGCCUAACCAGAAUUUCAGCAUUUCAAUUUCAAAUAUCUCUAAUUUUUUUCCUGAUAUUUUACCCUUUGGUGAAGGGAACUGGGAUUAGUUGAUGAUAAAAGCCGUGAAUCAGGAAUAGAUAUAAUUUUUUGCAUGAGAUACCGAUGUAGAUGGCGAAGAGUCCUGAUGAUGGUGAAAGAGUGGAGCCUGGCCAUGACCUGACCUGAUGCUGGGCGGCUUCUUCUUGCUGUUUAUUUGUUCCACUCUCUCCAUCCCACUAAGAUAAGCUUGGUUUCAUUUUUUGUUUGUCCCAAAUUAUACGUCAUUUUCUUUGUUGAGCAUGUGUCUUGUUAUCAACAAAUAUGGACUACCAUUAUUCAUUUUAGGGAUAUAUUAGGAAAAAUGUAAGUAAAAUUUAUACUUUCAACGUGUACUAAUAAAGUUUUCUUAAUUUUUGUGAAAAUAAAAACAAGCUUAUCUUUAUGGGACGGAGGGAGUAUUACAUUUCCUUAUUUAGUCGAGUCUUUUAAUUUGUUCCGUUUCCUUAUUCUUGAAGGAUGUCCCCAUUUGGCCCCAAUUAGUUCACAUCAUAAUUUUUUCCUUUUUCAAACACACAUUCUUCAAAAUAUGUAUACUAUUCCAAAAAUUAUAAUACCAAAUAAUGGGGGCCAAACGAGGGCUUAAUUUGUUUCCCUUAUUCCUUUACAAUUGUUUUUGAGUUGAGUUAAGAUUUGCUAUUUUAGUAUGGG
rnacentral:lncRNA from 1 species